ACUCGAGUGGCGAACGGGUGAGUAACACGUGGGUGAUCUGCCCUGCACUUCGGGAUAAGCUUGGGAAACUGGGUCUAAUACCGGAUAGGAGCCAUCUUUAGUGUGGUAGUUGGAAAGUUUUUCGGUGUAGGAUGAGCUCGCGGCCUAUCAGCUUGUUGGUGGGGUAAUGGCCUACCAAGGCGGCGACGGGUAGCCGGCCUGAGAGGGUGUACGGCCACAUUGGGACUGAGAUACGGCCCAG
rnacentral:rRNA from 1 species